UUAAACAUGAGAGUUUGAUCCUGGCUCAGGAUGAACGCUGGCGGCGUGCCUAACACAUGCAAGUCGAACGAAGC
rnacentral:rRNA from 1 species